AUGGAGAGCAAGGCAGUGAUAGGUGAAGCAGACAUGCUGUAGACCAUGCAGCAAGAUGCGCUCCGCCUGGCAGGAAAGGCCCUUGACCUCUUUGAUGUCACUGAGUCCACCGAGAUAGCUUCCUUCAUAAAAAAAGGAGUUUGAUCAAUCAUAUGGACCAGGGUGGCAAUGCAUGGUGGGAACAGACUUUGGUUCCUUUGUGACACAUCAUCGUGGCUGCUUUAUUCACUUCAGCAUAGGAAGCCUCAUGAUAUUACUCUUUAGGGCCACAUCGGCACCUGAAGUUGACACAACAGCAUUCAUUGCCAUGGAAUCAGUAGAAGUGUGAAAUCAUCUUCUUUCAAAGUCCUGGAUCAUGGGGUCUAUAUGUAAAUGAAUAUAACUUGAAAAGAAAUAUUCUUUUUUGUCAGUCCUCAAAUGACUGCUCUCUUUA